UGACUGGUGCUCUUCCUGUGAGCGGAU
rnacentral:piRNA from 1 species